GCUUACCAGACUGAUGUGACUUCAAAACUCAUGAAAAUGGGGACUGUCGGGAGAACAGGAAGUGAUCUAGGGAGAGCCUAAUGAGCUUGGAAAGCACACAACAAUGUGGGAUAAAUUCUGGUGCCCAACAGAGCAGACAAUGGAUGGUUCUUCCUAGAAAUUUGUCUUCCAGUGAGGCAGUGGGCUUCAGAACUCCAAGAUCAUGCAGAAGAGCACAUGAGCGUCUGCUCUCAUCAGCCAGGGUGGCUGGUUCCCCUCACACUGGGAAUCUUAGUGCUAAGCUCUCAAAACCCAGUACUGCAAUAGAGGAAGGUGUCAAGACUCUUCUUCCAAUGAGACAGAUGUUUCUACUUUUCAAGCAGUUCUCUCUUCCGGACAUCCCAUGACCAUCUGUUUAAGGGCCUGCUGGAGACCGUGUGCACUUGUUAUGAGCUUGGUUUCUCUAUUGAGCCCAAGAAGAGGGAGUUUCUACAGACAACCGUGACAAGGGCCGCAGCAAGGUGAAUCAGAUGAUGGCAGUGUGAAGCAGUGCCCACAGUGUCCAUGGAGGGUCAGGGACUUCGGAACGCAGACCCUGGUGCCUGACCUCACUGAGGGGAAGCCCUGCUAUGGAGCAAGAGGUGGAGAAAGACUGGUCGCGGGAGCAAGCUUAGUGUUGCGGCUGGACCAGCAGCCUGGCUUCGCAGGCUUAAUGAAACGGGUGCAAACAGUGACCUUGUCAGACGAAAUGAAUUAUGGGAAGGAGAAGCUGAAUGAAAUAUCUUCUGCCAUGACUCUGUUCUUUGGCUUUCAGGAGCGAGCCCCAGCACUUCUCAGAUGUGAAAUGCAAAACCUCAAAGGUGCAGAAUAUGGAUAUCCCUACAACUGAAGUAAUCCAUCUUUUAGUACACCAGAAUAAGUGUGCGUAACCGUGGAUGUGUGUACAACGAUCUGUCCUUGUCCUCUGCUGG
ensembl:lncRNA